AACGAACGCUGGCGGCAUGCCUAACACAUGCAAGUCGAACGAAGUCUUCGGACUUAGUGGCGCACGGGUGCGUAACGCGUGGGAAUCUGCCCUUGGGUUCGGAAUAACAGUUAGAAAUGACUGCUAAUACCGGAUGAUGUCUUCGGACCAAAGAUUUAUCGCCCAGGGAUGAGCCCGCGUAGGAUUAGGUAGUUGGUGGGGUAAUGGCCCACCAAGCCGACGAUCCUUAGCUGGUCUGAGAGGAUGAUCAGCCACACUGGAACUGAGACACGGUCCAGACUCCUACGGGAGGCAGCAGUAGGGAAUAUUGGACAAUGGGCGGAAGCCUGAUCCAGCCAUCCCGCGUGUAGGAAUAAGGCCCUAUGGGUUGUAAACUACUUUUAUUAGGAAGAAAACUUUGAUUUAUCAGAGCUUGACGGUACCUAAGGAAUAAGCACCGGCUAACUCCGUG
rnacentral:rRNA from 1 species